AACGAACGCUGGCGGUAUGCCUAAUACAUGCAAGUCGAACGAGAAAGCUCUUUCGGGAGUGAGUACAGUGGCGCACGGGUGAGUUACACGUAGGUGACCUAUCUCGCAGCGGGGGAUAACAGGGAGAAGUUCCUGCUAAUACCGCGUACGCUGGGCAAUUUUGGAAGUAGCCCAGGAAAGAUGGCCUCUAUGCUAUGCUAUUACUGUGAGAAGGGCCUGCGGGCCAUUAGCUUGUUGGUGGGGUAAAAGCCUACCAAGGCCAUGAUGGCAAGCCGGUCUGAGAGGACGAUCGGCCACACUGGAACUGAGACACGGUCCAG
rnacentral:rRNA from 1 species